rnacentral:rRNA from 1 species
UUUAUGGAGAGUUUGAUCCUGGCUCAGAGUGAACGCUGGCGGCGUGCCUAAUACAUGCAAGUCGAACGAUGAAGCUUCUAGCUUGCUAGAAGUGGAUUAGUGGCGCACGGGUGAGUAAGGUAUAGUUAAUCUGCCCUACACAAGAGGACAACAGUUGGAAACGACUGCUAAUACUCUAUACUCCUGCUUAACACAAGUUGAGUAGGGAAAGUUUUUCGGUGUAGGAUGAGACUAUAUAGUAUCAG